CAGUCACCACGACUAUCAGAUCCAGAAGGCAUUUGCUAAGCACUGGAUCCUUGUUCUCAAUUGUGAGACCACAAAGCAGAGACGAGCAUGCUGAGGUCCCCUCUGUGGGGCCCGAGGCAAACUGCCUUCCCCUCCUUGUCUCCAACCUUCCUGGUUCCCAAGAGAAAGCCAGUGAACAACUCAGCAGAGAGUCCAUCAUCAGGCCCCAGAUAUCUCCAGAAGCUCCAGCCACUGGUCUGCGUAUGUGCGUACUGACGUCCUGCUGCAGGGGGAGAAAUCUGGCUGGCGGGUCUCACACACUGCAGCUCACAGGCAGCCACGGAAUCCUCUUACAGCUGGCUCCACAUUCUCACACAUCUGAGAGCUCACCUAAACCACACCCAGUGGUCAUGUCUUGGCUGGAUACCACGACAUUCGCCCUCAGAGGAAGAAGAAAAAACGCAGUGCAACUAGAUAACUUCACAUUAUUUUCAUUAAAAUGGACUGAGCCACUAA